UACGGAGGGUGCAAGCGUUAUCCGGAUUCACUGGGUUUAAAGGGUGCGUAGGUGGGUCUGUAAGUCCGUGGUGAAAUCUCCAAGCUUAACUUGGAAACUGCCAUGGAUACUAUAGGUCUUGAAUACCGUCGAGGUGAGCGGAAUAUGUCAUGUAGCGGUGAAAUGCUUAGAUAUGACAUAGAACACCAAUUGCGAAGGCAGCUCACUACACGAAUAUUGACACUGAGGCACGAAAGCGUGGGGAUCAAACAGG
rnacentral:rRNA from 1 species